rnacentral:rRNA from 1 species
UACGUAGACCUCGAGCGUUAUCCGGAAUUAUUGGGCGUAAAGCGCUAAAAGGUGGUUUAGAAAGUCAGGCAUAAAAGCCCGGGGCUCAACUCCGGAUCUAUGUCUGAAACUCCUAGACUAGAGGGUAGAAGAGGCAAGCGGAAUUUCCGGUGUAGCAGUGAAAUGCGUAGAGAUCGGAAGGAACAUCUGUGGCGAAGGCGACUAUCUGGGCCAACACUGACACUGAGGCACGAAAGCGUGGGGAGCAAACAGG